rnacentral:lncRNA from 1 species
AUGAAAAUUCAGGCAGAUUCAACAGUGGGCUUCAGACUCACCUCUAAGAGCUUGCCUGCAGUAAGAGCACAAGAAUCAGGAGUGGAUUGGGUUUACUAUCUUACCCAGUCCAGCAUUCGAAGAUAUGGACCCCAAGAGAUGUGUUUCUGGAAGAUGGAUGUGUUUGACUCCAUGAGCAUCCCCUAUAAAGGAACUUUGCAAAGUGUGAGAAUUGGUUUGUAGUCUGAAGGGCCCCUGAGUCUGUGAGCCGUGUGGUUCUGCCAAGAUUGCCCAGCCUGCCAAACUCUCAGCUGCCAAAAGACUAGCCAGGGCUUCCUUGUAUAAUGAAAGUACAAAAAAGGCCAUGUGCUUGGCGGACUUGCCUGAUUCCCUCUGCUUCAUAGAGAAAAUAAAUCUCUGAAGAAGUCCA